rnacentral:rRNA from 1 species
UUAAACCUCUUCCAGAGUAUCAAUUGGAGGGCAAGUCUGGUGCCAGCAGCCGCGGUAAUUCCAGCUCCAAUAGCGUAUAUUAAAAUUGUUGCAGUUAAAAAGCUCGUAGUUGAAUUUCUGCUGCAUUGCUUUUGCUCCUUUACGAGUCUUUGCAUUGUGGCUUAUUUCGGACUUUGUUUUACAAUGUCCGGAUGUUUACUUUGAGAAAAUUAGAGUGCUCAAAGCAGGCUUUCGCCUUGAAUAGUUUAGCAUGGAAUAAUAAAGUAGGACUUUGGUUCUAUCUUGUUGGUUUUAGGUACCAAAGUAAUGGUUAAUAGGAACAGUUGGGGGCAUUCGUAUUUAACUGUCAGAGGUGAAAUUCUUAGAUUUGUUAAAGACGAACUACUGCGAAAGCAUUUGCCAAGGAUGUUUUCAUUAAUCAAGAACGAAAGUUAGGGGGAUCGAAGACGAUCAGAUACCGUCGUAGUCCUAACCAUAAACUAUGCCGACUAGAGAUUGGAGGUCGUCAGUUUUUUACGACUCCAUUCGCACCUUGAGAGAAAUCUAAGUCUUUGGGUUCUGGGGG